GCCUGGGGAGUACGGUCGCAAGAUUAAAACUCAAAGGAAUUGACGGGGACCCGCACAAGCGGUGGAUGAUGUGGAUUAAUUCGAUGCAACGCGAAAAACCUUACCUACCCUUGACAUGGAUGGAAUCUUUGAGAGAUUAGAGAGUGCCCGAAAGGGAACCAUUACACAGGUGCUGCAUGGCUGUCGUCAGCUCGUGUCGUGAGAUGUUGGGUUAAGUCCCGCAACGAGCGCAACCCUUGUCAUUAGUUGCUACGAAAGAGCACUCUAA
rnacentral:rRNA from 1 species